rnacentral:rRNA from 1 species
CGUUUGAGAUUUGAGAGGGGCUGCUCCUAGUACGAGAGGACCGGAGUGGACGAACCUCUGGUGUUCCGGUUGUCACGCCAGUGGCAUUGCCGGGUAGCUAUGUUCGGAAAAGAUAACCGCUGAAAGCAUCUAAGCGGGAAACUUGCCUCAAGAUGAGAUCUCACUGGGAUCUUGAAUCCCCUAAAGGGCCGUCGAAGACUACGACGUUGAUAGGUUGGGUGUGUAAGCGCUGUGAGGCGUUGAGCUAACCAAUACUAAUUGCCCGUGAGGCUUGACCAUAUAACACCCAAGCAAUU